CUGGCCCUGCUGUGUUGGUAGGGAUGGUGCUCUCUUCAGUGAAAGUCAGCGUGAGCUCAGGCAGCAUAAACAGAUUAAUUGAUGUAGUUCUUUGUCCAGUAAAUAAACACCAACAAAUUAAUUUUUUUUUAAUGGGCAGAUGGAAGGUUCCACAGUACUUCAGAGAAGACAAGGCAGGAAGGUGAGAGGAAUGAAGAAGCAGAACAUGGAAUCCACCUGGAGACAAUGGAGCAGCAGACAUUGCCUGUCAGCCUCUUUUAUGUCUGUCUGAAAAAAGAGACCUGUUAUUUCAGUGAAACCAAAGAGUGAAAAUUAAAAAGCAAAAACGGUACAGAACAGAAGACUUUUGCAAAACCAAUUUGACACUUCCUAUUGGUUGAAGUAAUGGAGCAGCAAAUUCUACCAGCUUGCAUAAAAGCAGCUUUGGUCUGCUUUAAAAAUUCCUGUAAAAGAUAGAGUGAUGUCACUCGUGUGCUGUUCACCUGUCUGUUCUCACCUCCAGGUGUCAAAAGCUGAAGUGCUGUAACUCUGGCAAGGCAGAGCCCAUUUCUCCUGCCCCAGCAGCUGCCCUGGUGUGUGCUGUGGGGAGCCUGGCCCGUGAGGACACAGAGCUCCUGCUCGCUCCUGCUGUGUCAGCUCGACAAGCUCCAUCUCUCUGCUGGGUCCUCUGCGACCAGAUGAAAGUGUCCAACAAGCCUGCCUUCUCAGUCGUGUACAAGCUGCUGCAGAAUCUGUUUAAGCACUGCUGCUGUUUAUGAGAACACAGGUGUGGGGGGUGGAAAAUGCAGUCCUUGGGCACAUGAAACAUGACUUUGAGAGAAUAAAUGCUGUCAGAUUCACAAGGAAAACAGACUUGAAAGUAAAGCAAAUAUUUUUUCACACUUGUUUAA